rnacentral:lncRNA from 1 species
UUCAUUUACAGUUCAGGCUUGAAUACUUCAGUUUUGUUGGUUUGCUUGUAAAAUGUAUGGGGAAAUAAUAUACAAGUAUUGUUACAUCAUGUUAUUUGCUGAUAUAUAAAGCUUCUAUCACUGUGUUGACAUGUGCAAGAUUAUAAUAUAUAAUUAUGAUUUUAACAGUGCAGUACAAUUUUACAUUUUUCAAAUCUGAGAGCUAGAAUGGCACAAAUAACUUGUAUAAUAGCAAAUCUGUCAUAAAAUUGUUAUUAGCUGGAAAAAGUUAAUGGUACAAAUUUUGAAACAUGUUUUCACAUCUCAACAACUCAGACUUCUUUUUCUUGAAAUGUGUUCAUCAAAAGAAUACCUUGGGAAAAUAUAUCGUCACAAAUUUGAAUUUUGUACUAAUUGUUGGUUGUUCUGUUUGUUUUUUUGUUGUGAAGAGUAUUUCAUAACUUUGUCAGAGUAAGUUGACAGUUUCCUGCAUGAUGAAGAAAACAUUGUACAUGUUAUAAAUUAUAAUUGAUCUAGAAUGUCCAAAUAUACAAGUGUAAGGUCACAAAGUCUAUGUUAUAACACAUUAAAUAUGUUAUGCUCCUGCUUUGUGUACGCUCAAUGUUUACAACAUGUAUCUUGCUUACAUUUAAUUAAAAUGCUUCAAUGUAUAAAAUUAUAGGCCCAGAAAUUUCUUAUGGUCUUUGGGACGACAUAAAAAAAUCAAUGAAGGAUAAAAAACUUAAUUCAAAUAGUUUGUGGGUGGGGGUCAAAAUUACUGCAAAUUUUCUUUAAUUGACAUCAAUUUUAUAUAUAUCUUCAUUGUAUAAAAAAGAAGAUGUGGUAUCAGUGCCAAUGAGACAACUCUCCACAAGAGACCAAAAAGAACAAAAAUUAACAACUAUAGGUCACCGUACAGUCUUCAACAAUGAGCAAAACCCAUACCACAUACAUGUAGUCAGCUAUAAAAGGCCCCGUAAUGACAAUGUAAAACCUAAUUGGUCAAUCAAUUUUUCCCAAAUUAAGUUAAGAGGGGGGUAGGGGGUUCCGUGAAAGUACCAUUUAAUUCUUUAUAAUGAGUAGAGUUUUAAUUCUCAUAAAAAUAUCAGCUUUCAAAAUGUGUUUAAAUAUUAAGCUUUCACUUAAAAAAAAUACAAGGUUUAUAUAUUUAUGCUUACUUACAGAAAUAUACAUUUUUCUGUGCAAUAAAAUAGCUGCUUAUCUUUUGGCAAUUGCUUGAGGGGAAAUUAAUAUGGGACCAACAACAGAUUUUCACAAUGCUAGACCAAACCUUUUCAAAACGUUUAUGUUAUAGACCAUGUUGCCAAAAUAAUUGACCAUAACAUUAUUUUGUAGAAGUUAUAAAGAAAUGUUUGUUAUUAUGGCCAUCAUAUUUUUUCUGUUCUGUUGUGUUAGUUGAAUUUUUCUGUUCUGUUAUGUUAGUUGAUUUUUCUUUAGACUUUGUUCAUUUUUCUUAUGUGCAAUCCUAG